AUCGCCUGGGAUCUUGUGAAAAUGCAGAUUCUGAUUCAGUGGGUCCGGGGCAGAGCCUGAGAUUCUGCAUUUGUAACAAGCUCCCAGGCGAUGAUGC
rnacentral:pre_miRNA from 1 species